rnacentral:misc_RNA from 1 species
AACGCACCUUGCGCCCUUUGGUAUUCUGAAGGGCAUGCUUGUUUGAGUGUCAUUAUAUUCUCAACCUUGAUGGCUUGCUAUUCAAGGCUUGGAUGUGAGGGUUUGCUGGCUUCCUUAAGUGGUGGUCUGCUCCCUUUAAAUGCAUUAGUGAGAUCUUUUGUGGAUCGGUCACUUGGUGUGAUAAUCUAUCUACACUGCUUGACUGUGAAGCAAAACUUAUGGGAACUUGCUUACAACCGUCUUCAGACAGCUUCUUUAUGUUUGACCUCAAAUCAAGUAGGACUACCUGCUGAACUUAA